rnacentral:rRNA from 1 species
GAUGAACGCUGGCGGUAUGCCUAACACAUGCAAGUCGUACGAGAGUUUUUAACUCAAGUGGCGGACGGGUGAGUAACACGUGAGAAUUUGCCUUUAGGAGGGGGACAACAACUGGAAACGGUUGCUAAUACCCCAUAUGCUUUCGAGUGAAAUGAAUUUAUUCGCCUAAAGAGAAGCUCGCGGCUGAUUAGCUUGUUGGUGGGGUAAGAGCCUACCAAGGCGACGAUCAGUAUCUGGUUUGAGAGGACGAUCAGACACACCGGAACUGAGACACGGUCCAGACUCCUACGGGAGGCAGCAGUGGGGAAUUUUCCGCAAUGGGCGAAAGCCUGACGGAGCAAUACCGCGUGAAGGAAGACGGCCUAUGGGUUGUAAACUUCUUUUUUCAGGGAGGAAUUCAAUGACGUGUACCUGAAGAAUAAGCAUCGGCUAACUCCGUGCCAGCAGCCGCGGUAAGACGGAGGAUGCAAGUGUUAUCCGGAAUCACUGGGCGUAAAGCGUCUGUAGGUUGUUAAACAAGUCAACUGUUAAAUCUUGAGGCUCAACUUCAAAAUCGCAGUCGAAACUGUUUGACUAGAGUAUAGUAGGGGUAAAGGGAAUUUCCAGUGGAGCGGUGAAAUGCGUAGAUAUUGGAAAGAACACCGAUGGCGAAGGCACUUUACUGGGCUAUUACUGACACUCAGAGACGAAAGCUAGGGUAGCAAAUGGGAUUAGAUACCCCAGUAGUCCUAGCCGUAAACAAUGGAUACUAGAUGUUGAACAGAUCGACCUGUGCAGUAUCAAAGCUAACGCGUUAAGUAUCCCGCCUGGGAAGUAUGCUCGCAAGGGUGAAACUCAAAGGAAUUGACGGGGGCCCGCACAAGCGGUGGAGCAUGUGGUUUAAUUCGAUGCAACGCGAAGAACCUUACCAGGGUUUGACAUGAUACGAAUUUUUGUGAAAGCAGAAAGUGCCGU